AAAAAGAAAAAAAGAAAAAAAAAUAAAAAAAAAAUCAAAAAGUGUUCAUGAAGAGGUUGAGUAUAUCUAUUGGUGUGCCUAUUUUGGACACAGAAUUUUCAGCUAUGGUUUAUUAACCAAGCCAUAACUAGUUGAAAUAGUUUUCCUUUUUACAAAUUAAAAAUCACCUCUCCCACUGGUUCAUUAAUGAUGGGCAGAUAGUUGACAGAAUAACAACUGUUAAAAUGUUCCAGUGCCUUUCACUCCACUGAGAAAUACCAUAAUGAAAAAUUCUUAACUAUAUAUUCAUAUAUAGUAGUAGUCAACAAUUUUUUUUUCUGUAUAUAUCUCUCUAUGAGGCACCAUGCUAGGCACUAGUGGGAUAAGUAUAAGGCAUAAUCCUUUUACUCAAAGUAUUAAGAGUAAAAUGGGGAAAAUCAGUCCUAGGAUUGUCACCUGUUAGAAUAAAUAUGGUAGAGGUAUGUAUAAAGGCCUGUGACACUACAGGCUAAUAGCCUCUCUGGCUACCAGGAAAAGCUUCAUAGAGGGAAUCUGGAAGGCUGUUUGGCAGGAGGAGAAAGAAAGGCAUUCCAAAGAGAGGUAACAUAAACAUGAGUGGUAUUUUCAUGUAAUGGUAUGAAGCUAAGGGUACCAUGAACUUACUAUAGGGGAAGGAAGUUGUGGAAGAUAAAGUUGUACAGACAGGUUGGAAGGAAUUUGGACUUUAUGAUGAAGGCAAUGUAAAGUGUGCCCAUUGUUGCAAGAAAGUGAGGACAUCUCUCUGUCUCUAGGAAAAAGAAUUCUCUCUCAUCUAGACUCCUGGAAAUAGUGUGCUAAGAGAAUACUCAGCAUACAGGGAUUUGAGUAAGAGGGUUUCUAAGGCCUAUUUUUCUAUUCAUCUCCCCAUCCAUUAAACACAUAUAUAGAAGUUAAUUCUGUUUCAGGUAAAGUACUGAACACUGAAGACAUAGUGGCGAAGGACACACUUGGUUCCUUACAUUCUAGCGGAGCUUGGAGAAGGAGACAAAGAAUGUACAAGUACCUAUAUAAGUAAACAGGAUAAUUUCCGGUUAUUGUAAAUACUAGAAGGAAGAUAAAUAGGGUGAUAGAACAGACAGUAACUGGGGCGAGGGUUACUUUAGAAAGUCUGAUCAGGGAAAAGAUUCUCUGAGGAUUGAUAUUUGAGCUGGAGUGUCAAGGAUGAGAAGGAAGCACAUAUGUGCAGAAUCUAUGGAAGAGCUCUCCUGAAAAGGGGACUAGCAAGUGUAUAGAAAGGCCCUGAGGUGAGAAAUCGUGUGAGGUGUUCUACAAACCAAGGAGACAGCAUGUCUGCAGCAUAACGAGCAAGAGGAGAGAUGGGUCCAGAGUAAAGAUGAAGGCAGGCAGGGGCAAGACCAUGUUGAAAGAGCAUUGUGGGCCAUAGUAAGCAGUAUGUCCUUGAUUCUAAAAGUUGGCAUUUAAGGAUUUAAAGCUACUGAGUAUUGUGAUCAGAUGUAUACUUUCUCAAAAUCACACUGAUGUUGAAGAGUGGACUGGAGGCAGGUAGAGUAAAGAAUGGUAAGAUACGGGCCUACAGAUUUAGUUCUGGCAAAAGAUUGGUAAUGGCUUGGGCUUUGGUGUGACAAUAGAGGUGGAGAGAAAUGGAUGUGUUCUAUAUAUUUUCAAUACAGAGCUGUUAGGACUUGUCUUGCUUGUUGUGGGGCAUAAGAGAAAGGGAGGGAUCCUCAGUUUUUUAUUUGAGCAACUUUGAUGGUACUAUAGUUUUUGACAUGGGGAGACCUCAUAGCGUCCAGUUUGUUGGAGUGGAGUAAUGGUGAAUAUUAUUAAUGCUGUUUUGGAUGCCGUAAUUUUGAGAUCUUUAUUAGAUAUGUAAGGUUCAAAUGGACAGUGGGUAUGCCUCAAGGGAGAGGUCAGAGGUGGAGGUAUAAAUCUGGAAGUCAUCAGCAUUUACUUAAAGCCGUCAGAUUUGAUGAAAACAUAUAGGGAGAGAACACACAUGUAAAGGGAAGAGAAGGCAGGCCCAUGCUCAUUGUUAAGUAGAUAGCAAAGGAGGGGAAUUGUAAAUUGAAUUCUGUGCCCCCCAAUUCAUGUAUUGAAAUCUUAACCCUCAGUACCUCAAAAUGUGACCUUAUUUGGAAUUACGGUCAUUGCAGAUAAGAUGAGGCUAUGCUGGAAUAGGAUACCUAAUUCAAUAUGACUGGUGUCCUUAUAAAAAGAGGAAAGUCCAUGUGAAGACUGUACUUAACUACCACAAGCCAAAGAAUUUACUGGAAGCUAGGAGAGAGCCUUCCCUAGAGCCUUCAGAGGGAGCACAGCCCUGCCGGCAGCUUGGUUUCAGGCUUCUGGCCUCCAGAGCUCUGAAAUGAGAAGCUUCUGUUAAGCCACUCAGUUUGUGGUGUUUUGUGAUGGCAGCCCUAGAAAACACAUAGAAGACUAAUUAAAAAUGACAAGAAAUAAAAGGAAGACCACCACAGUGUGGUGUCAUGAUGGCCAAGGAAAGCAUGUGUUGCAGGAAGAAAGGAGUGGCCAUUUUUAUUGAGAGAUUUUGUUGUUUUAUUGUUUUUUUUUGUUUGUUUUAUUGUUUUUAUUGUUGAGAGAUUAAAUGAGAGAAGGAGAGAGAAAGGGCCGUUGGAUUAGAUUUUGCAGUAUAUUUGGGGAUUCUUGCUCUUCCCAUUUCUUGUGCUUGAGAUAUUCCAUAUCUAUCUCUUGAUGAUGAUUUUGGUUAUAUUCAGCUGCUAGACGGCAGUGGGUAUGCCACCAGAAAGAGUGAGCUGGUAGCUUUUCCUCUGGUUAGAACGUUUCCUGUCUCUCCUAGGAGUUGGAAGAUGCCGUGGCAGUAUCCUGUGCCUUCCUUCUUUGCGUCCGUAGCCACUGCUUUAUUCUGCAGAAAAAGGUGCUUGCUGCCUACUCCCCCAUGGCAUAAGAGUGUCAGUAGCUGAGUUGACCAUCCAGUUGCUCCGAACUCAGUUCUCCAUUUACUCUACCAUUCACUACCCACUGCUUGCUAUUCUGAGUUUGGACUUCCCCCAGAACCACUCCCCUUCAUAGCCGAUCCCCUCCUGCACAUGUAGGAGUAAGCUCUUCUCCUUCUGUUCAGAAGAUCCAUUGUGUACCUUUUCUUGAUUUUCAUCAAUAUUGAAUAUUUAUUAUUUAACAGCAUCUUUUCUUGGGUCAUUUCCAAGAAUUUGGACUAGGAGCAGAAAUAGGCACUGGCAUACGGUCUGACAUCAUGUCAGUGCUCUGAUAUAUUCCUUUUGUUGUGGAUUAAUAUUGAUUCCAUCAUCAUGCCAUGUUUGUGCUCAUGAAGCACAUAUAUCUUUUGGCUGCCAGGGUCUAAUCAGAGCUCACUGGCAAAGCUCCUUAGACAUUUCUUCUGAGCUAUGCUCUUUGAAUCAAUACCACGAGUGGUAGUUCCCAAUAAAUGUAGCCUUUAUUGACUUAACAAAUAAUUUGUUAAUUAUUUACUGCGCACAUAUCACAGUUGGUGAUAUAGAGAAAUAUAAUGUGUGGUCUCCAUUCUCAAUGAGUGUACUUGGGAAAAAGAGGCAUUCGCACGAAGGAUGCUAAAUAACAAUUCAUGAAUUAAGCAACAUGAAGACUUCAUUGACCAGGGCUAGAAAUCUAGCUUACAUUGUAUUAAGUAAAAAAAAAAAAAAAAGCGUAUCCCUUGUAUUCUAGUGUUUAGAGCAGUGCCAGGUACACAAUAGGCCUUCUGUAAAUAUUUGUUGAAUGAAUGAAUGAGGGGAAUUUAUUGUCUCACAUAAUUGAAAUGUCCAGGUGAUGUUGAGGUUUAGGUGUAGCUGUAUCCUAUCAUGUCCUUAGGCGUCUGAUUCUCUCCUUUUUUUUUUUUUGGCUCUUCUUUUUUCUGAAUUGGCCUAAGUUUUAGGAAGUUUGUCUCCAUCCUAUGGUGGUUGCUGGUCUUUUGAAAGAGAGAUUCCUCCCUCCCCCUUUCUCAGUAGUUUCAGCAAAAAUCCUGGAGCUGAAACUCAUAGCGUUGAUUUGGGUCAUGUGCCCAGCCCUGAACCAAUCGUGACCAGGGGAUGGAAUACUCGAUGCAUCAGGCCUAGUCACAUGUGCACUCCUGGAGCUGAGCCUUUUGAGCCACAUGGACCAAGAGUUUGGAAGGGCUUUUUUUCCUCCAAAGAAAAAUUGGGCCCAGUAUAAGAGAUGUCAUAAGGCAAUAGAUAAUUCCACAUGAUUGUAUCAGGAAGUGAGUAUCAGCUCAGAGGCUUUGGAAGGGGUCAAAGCAAACCUCAAGGAGGAGACUGAAAUUCAUUUAUGCUUGAGAAGUGAGCAGGAAUUGACUUGAUAAGGAAAAGGAAUUCUAGAGGGAGGAAGUGAAGAAAUAGACAUGAUGACCUAAUUAACCACCAUCAGUAAUUUCAAAAACCGAGACGAACUCCAGCAACAGGGGACAAGAAAACAGGCAUGAAAUAAGCUCAAAUAAAAUGGAUGGAUCAAGUUAAUAAAAAUAAAAGCAGAAAUAAAUGAAACAAACAAACAAGGAACAAUAGUUGAGAUGAUCAAUAAAACCCAAAGCUGGAGGUUCUGAAAGAAUGAUAUGCACAUACCAACUUCCUGCACGUAUGAUGAAGGCAAAGAGAGAAGACACAACGUGGUAUGAUGCAGGACGAGAGGGCACGGACACAGAGGAGAUUCUUAAAAUUAGGAGACUUCUUCGUGCAGCAUCCUAGCUGAAGUCAGAGGGUGAGAAUUGUGCCUUCUCCCCAGCACCCCAAGCCGUUUUCCUCCUGCCCAAGGCUUGCAUUCAGAGGCAGCACAGCGUCAUGAUGAAGAACGCAUCUAGAACCGGAAAGCCUGGCUUUGAACCUGGGUUGUCCUUUACUGUCUGGAGUGAGCUUGAAAACCCAACACCAACCAGCUGAAACAUCAAGUACAAAGAUCAAAACAACAAACAAAGGACACGUAAUGACUUCUGUAACGGCAACAUUCGAUGGAUUAUCUCACAUCAGGAAUGGCUGGAUCCAGGUGUCCAAACGAUCCAGGUUGUCUGAGUGUAUCAGCUCUCUCUCACUUCAAGCUUGAGAGGAGGGUCCUGGGCGCCAGCGGAAGCCUUCAGGCAGAGAACAAGAGAAGCAGGUGCCUGAGCUGGGAACAGCCUGGCACCGCCGUAGCCGAACUCAGGUGGGCGCGGCGUCCGCAGCUUCUGCUACACUCGGGAUGAACACGAGGCGGGGCCCCCGGCGGCUUACAAUCCCCGGUAGGAUAACCAUUCCAGAGAACGCUUCUUUUUCAGGAAUUUCAGGCCCAGCCUUCUGAUUGGGCAGGCUCGUGUCACAUGACCACCCGUGAGCCAAUCACUGUGCCUGCGGAAACGGAGUGUCUAGUCACCCUGGAAGGUACCACCCGGCCACGUCGCUGCCUCUCACGUAACAAGAAUUGCGCCGGCGUGCCUCCCUGCAAGAUGGGGGGGGUGGGGGGGGGGCUCUGACCCCCCCCCCCACCGCCACCGGCUGACGGCUUGGAAGAUGGAGGAAGAUUCUAGAUGGCAACACUACCCGUAUCCACUGAGGAGACAUCCUGCCCCUACGGAGUGGGUCUCCAGCUUUGCUUCCCCCAGAUGUACACAAUUUGCUACGUGCUGGCAACGAAAGGUGCGAGCUGACGAAUAUGGAAGCUGAUGGCACAUGAUUUUCCCAGGCACCGAGAACUUCCGUUUAAAGAGACCAGGCUUGGUGUGCAAGAUACCCGUAUGCCGACUAGUGGGGUGCUGUCCCGGUUGGGGCCGUGGCACGGAGUAGGUGUUGGGCGCACACACUGAGACGGGAAAUAUUUUCGGAGCCAGAGUCCAAAUUUGGAAGGACCAACAGGAGCCUCUGCAGGCCGCCAGGGAAGGAUUCAUGAGUCAAAGGAGAAGAAGCCGGUGGACUCUUUGUAUUUGAACAAGUCGCUUAAGCUGUCUGAUCUUCAGUUUCCUUCAUCUUGAAAAAUCGGAAAGUGGCAUCUACUUGGUGGGUUUUGAGGACUUGCCCAAGGUCAUACAGCCAAGAAGAUGAGCCAGUACAUCCCCACGGUGUUUUCGAGCUGAGAAUUCAAGCCAGGACCUACCUUGCUCACAAAAAGGACAGAUUUCAAGGUGAGCUGUGCCAUCUGGGGCAUUUCGAAAUGUACACGUUGAACCUGUGAGCGAGAGUCUGUGUGUGGCUGAGAGAGAAAUCUUUGAGGGAGACUUCGGAGAAUGAUAUGCUUGACCCAGCAGCAAUUCUAUGCAAGCAGCUGCUCUUCUCUGAGUCGCUGGGUGCGAGUUGAGAGCACCAGCUUCGGAAUGGGACAGGAUUGCCCGCAUGGUGAUCUGGACUCUUUUAUUCGUGUCCUCUGUGACCUUGAAGGAGCAUUUUGAGGGAGCUCCUUGGCUACGGAGGCCCAUUCUCGACACCGGAAGACACGCCCAAGGGGGCACGGUGUUGAGGAUGUAUAAUGUUGUGUACGGGAGCACUCACUGUACCGAGGGCUUACAGUCGCACAGGGGAAAUGAGGUACGCAGGCUGAUAAAUACGAUGCGAGGUGACGUGCCCUAAAGGUGGUGAAACCUUACGGCUAGAUCGUCAAGGUUGCGCGGAGGGAAUGGAGGAAAGAAUCUUGGAACCAUAGCGCCCAGCUCCCUUGCCAUGCAGGUGACGACGCGGACAGGACCACGGUUUCUAGCUCCGACCCAACUCCCCCUGUCUGCUCUCCACUGCGUUACCUCUCACGCCCAUUCCGGCUCAAAGUGGCAGUUUUAUUCUAGUUUGGAGGCCGUGGUGAAGUCCUCACGCCUGCCCGCGGUGACAGAACAAAGCCUCGUCUCAUUUCCUCUGUGCAGUAGCCAAUUAAGGACAGAGAGUGCUUUAGGGUGUAUGUCCUCAUUCAUUCACUUGACAAAUAUCUAGUGGUGGCAAGUGGUAGAGAUAAAGAGAGGACUAAGACUCCGAGUGAGGGCAGAGAAAGAUCACAUACAAGGUACAGGGGAUUUCCAGCAUCCUUUCCAAGCUAGUUGCUGCAUCAAGGGAAGAGCACGUGUUGGCAAGCGACGACGUUAGAGAAGUAGGCGGAGGCCACAUCGUGGAGGACUUUGCGGGCUUGAGUUGGGUUCCACAGAAGCAAUCCCUGAGACCGGGAUUCAGAUGCCAGUGAUUCCUUUAAGAAGUGCUCCUUAUAGAAGCAGCAAUGGAAAAGGAAGCACGUGAAGGAGGAGGAGGAGGAAGAGGAGGGACAGGAGGCGAGGAGGAGGAGGGAGAGGGAGGAGAAGACUUCCCAAUGGAAAACAGCAUUUGCAAACCAUGUAUCUGAUAAAAGAGGUUCAUAUCCAAAGGAUACUUUUUAAAAGACUCCUAUAACUCAACAGCAAAACAAACACAAAGCGUCUACUUUUAAAAUAAGCCAAAGAGCUGAAUAGACGUCCGUCGAAGGAAGGUAUAUGAAUGGCCAACGUGUGCUUGAAAAGAUGCUCAACAUCACCCAUAUUAGAGAAAUGCAGAUCAGAAGCACAGUGAGCUAUUGCAUGCCUGCUGCAAUGGCCAUCAUCACAAAGUCAAGAGAUACCCAAUGCUGGUGAGGAUGUGGAGAAGAGGCAACACCGUGCACCACGGGUGGGAAUGGAAGCUGGUCCAGCCACGACGGGAAACAGGAUGGAGGGUCCUCCGAAGGUUACAAAUGCACCUACCGCAUGAACCAGCAAUGCCAUUUUUGGGUCUAUAGCCAAAGGAGUUGAAAACGGGAUCUCGAAGAGAGAUUUGCACCCCGUGUUCAUUGCAGCAUGACUUUCAGUAGCUGAGACAGAGUAGCAACGUGAGUGUCCAUCGACAGAGGAAUGAAUGAAGAAGAUGUGCUCUCUCCUCUUGGAUCAUUUGCUUUGGGAAAAGACAGCUGCUACGUCGUGUGAGCAGCCCUAUAGAGAGGCCCAUCUGGCAAGAAACUGAAGCCUCCUGCCAACAGCCAUGUGAGUGAUCUUGGAAGCAGACCCUCCGUCCCCAUCAGACGACUGCAGCCCCUGCUGACAACCCGCCUGCAGCCAGACAAGAUUAGGUCUCAUUAAUCACUGUGGUGCCACCGUCCAUGACAGUGCUGAGCACAUCGUAGGUAUCAGUAAAUGGUUGCUUGAAGAAGGAAUGAAUGAAUUACAAAUGGACCUCUCCGUGUCUCUUCAAUGAGGUAAGACCUGGACAAUAAUAUGGGGGUCUUAGUAGAAGCUCAUAGAACACUAAUGUUCAUUUCCUCCUGCCCCAUUAAGCAGAACAGGUGAUCUCCACCUGCACACCUAGCCCUCUCUUGCUGUCCCUUUUCUCAGACCUUCCUUUAACUGUUGAAGUUUUCUCACUAUUCACCUCCUUCGGCUUGCCCAUGCAACUCCAGCUACACACUGACAUCAUCCAAGGACCUUUCAAAGGGGUCAUGACUGGAUUUCAUCCACAGGGAUUUUAAUGUAACUGAUCUGGGGGAAGCCUGGGCAUGGGAAUGAUUCGGAUGUGCAGCCAAGGUUGAGACCUUGUGUUCCGGGCCUGAAGUUGGUACUUCUUUCUGGUUCCACAUAAUAAAGCUGCUGACAAGAGGUGAUCCUCACUUUUUCAAUACCUCUGUAGGCUCCAGGUUGGUCAAGUGCCAAGGUCUCCAUGCACACAGGGAAUCAGAUGUGGGAGUCGAAACUAAAAAACUCAUGUGGGCUCUUUACGAUCCUUAGGUUAUCUGUAUUAUUUUUCUUGAUUUAUAGAAUAAACUUGACCCCUGCGAGAAUUUAAGUGUCUCUUCAUAGACUGUAGUGCCUUCUCUCUCUCAUAUAUUUUGGUUCUGGGACCUGGAAGCUAUGGCUUUUACAGUCCUUUCUGGCUUUUCUCUCAACAUUUGCCUUGUUCCACUGAAAACAGACAUCUUUCACUCAGCAUCAAAAUGUCAUGCUAAGAGAGUUUUUAGUAUCCAGCUUGUAAGCCAGGGUGAAUCUUGAAAUUGGCUCUCUACUGGAAUCUAAUCAGCAGGAUUCAGGGGUCUUUCCAGCCCCAAUCCAGCUGGAACCUUCUUUUAGGACAAGCAGUGUGAGUAUAUGCCAUAUGUCAGAGAGUGAGGGCAGUCAUAUGGAUGUGGAGGAAGAAAGAUGGGGAGGAAGGGGGAGAGAAAACGCCUUCCCAAGCCCAGCUGGUGGACCUGACCUAAGGAACAGGUCAUUCCCUCUGGCCUCAAAGCCUUUCCAUAUCGAGGAAAGAUGUAUUUCUCCUCAUCCUUGAGUUGAAUCAAUAAGGCCCUUUUUGGUGGGAGGUAAAACAGUGCCUCACGAAGUCAAAUCUGGAGUGCGUGGAGGGAGGCAUGGGCUCCGAGGGUGGACGGAGCCAGCACAUCUGCAUGCCCCCUGUCUCCCCCGAUACUUCUCGAACAGAUGGAAGGCUAUGAAAAAGAAUAAAUUCCCAACAGCAUGAGAAAGAAGAAAGACAGCCAUGCACUGUCACGGAAAUCAGCGCAUUCCUGAUACACGGGAAACAGAGAUGAUCAGAUUCACAGAGAAACAGAACCGGAGGAAACAGCUCACACCAUACGGGGGAGUGGACUGUGGCUAAGUAGAGGCAAUUUAAGGAAAACUCCAAUCCUACAGCCAAUAAAAUGAAUCGAACUGGCCCGUCUUAUGUGUUUACGGAUGAAGAAACUCCAGGGUCGGAUUCAUCACACUGUAUUUGCCUUCAGAGGAGUUACCCCGUCGGCUGACUCCUGAGAGCAUCCAGUGCAGUCACUGUGGGCUAGGGUUUUGCCUGCAUCGAAAUAAAAAGAUGGUCAACAGCCAGGACGGGAGAGAUUCAGAUGCAUUCAAUAACGUGCAGAAAAGGCCCUGGGAAGAUAUAUCACUCCACUGCCUUCUGGAAUCAACUGUUGUGGAUGAGGAGUCAGCUGAGAAUGUAAUCGUCAUUCCUUUGUGGGUAAUCUGUAUUUUCUUUCUGGUAACCUAAAGAUUUUUUUUUUCUUCGUCUGUCUGCAUUUCAGUAGGAUGUGCACAGAUGUGUAUUUAUUUUCGUUGACGCUGGAUUUGGUACAUCUCUCAGCAAAUCUGGAAAAUGCUCAGCCAUUAUCUUUCUAAAUAUCUCUGCUCUGCCACUUGCUUAAUUCUACGCUUUCAACAUCCCUAUUAGACAUAUUUUGGAGCCCAUCCAUUUAUCCUCCAUGUUUUGAAACUAUGGCUUAAUGAAAAAAAAAAUUUUUUUUAAUCUCUCUAUGAUGCAUUUUUUGUUGAAUUCUGAGCAGUAUCUUCCAAUUCACUAAUUCUUGCUAAAUACAUCCAUUCUGGAGUUUGUCUCAUUUACUGACUUAAAAUUUUUAGUGGCCAUAUUUUUCAUUUCCAACAUUUCUAGCAGACAUUUUUCAAAUAUACAUUUUACAACUGCGUGUGGGGCUCCUGGCUGGCUCAGUUGGUAGAGGGCGUGACUCUUGAUCUCGGGGUUGAGUUGGAGCCCCACGUUGGGUAUCGAGAUUACUUUUAAAAAGUAACCCCCCCCAGAACUUUUUGUUUUACUCUCAAUUAGAUGUUUGCUUUUUUCCCCAGCUUUUCUUGAGAUAUAAUUGACAUAUACCAUUGUGUAAGCUCCAGGCGUAACACGUGUUGAUACGGUACAUUUGUAUCUUGCAAUAUGAUUACGACUGUAGCUUUCCAUUACAUUACCAAAUUACCGUUUCUUUUUUUUUUUAAGUUCAUUUAUUUAUUUUGAGAGAGAGCGCACAGGGGAGGGGCCGAGGGAGAGAGAGGGAGACAGAGACGCACAAACAGGCUCGGGGCCGUCAGCGCAAAGCCCAACACGGGGCUCGGACCUGUGAACUGUGGAACCGUGACAUCAUGACCUGAGUAGAAGCUGGACGCUUAACCGACUGAGCCAUCCCAAGUUACCAUUUCUUUUUUGCGGUAAGAACAUUUAAUAUUGACUCCUUGAGCAACUUCCAAGUAUAUAAUAUAAUUCCAUUGGAAUUUGUACCCUCUGAUCAGCAUCUUCCCAAACUUGUAUCUUUUUGCUCCAGCAUUGCGCUGGACCUUCUCCUCUUGAAACCCGGACUUCGCCAGAGGUUCUCUCGUCUGCGGGGGAUUAUUUUUGAAAGUGCUUUCCUGGGGCUGCCAGACUGGCGGAGAGGGGCUGGAGCCAGUUCAGGGACCACUGCAGGGUCCACAGCCACGACCGAGGUCUGUCUGCCUGUUUACCUGAUGCGUGGGUGGGUAAGACUCUUUCCAGGUUCCUUGGCAUCCGGCGCUAUGUCCCACAGCUUUCCGAAGGUACUUUUGUCCAUGAUGGAUGAUGGAGUUUGGGUGGCGGUGGCUGGAGGACACAGAUGACGGAUGUCUUCUGGCAUCACGAUGCUGGCUUCACCCUCCAGAACUUACCUGUUUUAAUGUUAGCCUCAGAUCCUUCUAGUAUGUUUAUUGUUGUCUUUUUCGUGAAUGAUCACCCAUCAUGGGUUGUUCGUUGUUGGUCCCGUCGGAUUUCUUCCUUCACGGGAGGUCUCGCUGCGUGUUUCGUGAUUUUGUACCGUAGGCUCAUCUUGAGUGACCUUGUUUGCUUCCCUCCUGUUUUCCUCUGUCCUCGCUCCUCCCUACGUGCCAGGUUUGCAGCUGGCUCUUCAAGACCCCCCAGUCCAGAACCCAGAUUUCUCGCGUGGGGUCGAGGCUGUUGUUCAUCGUAUCGCACUGAGCCAGUGGGCUGCUCAUCCAAGUUUUCGGUAGAGGCUGUGUCUGGUCCCUCCCGCCUGCCUCCUUAUCCCAUUGUAGUAGAAUCUCAGCUUUCUCAACUUUCUUGCAGAAGUGGGAAGAGACUGUCUAGCUCCUAGGCUCACGCCAUCAUCUUGGCUCUCGUCCCCUUCCCUUCGUGGGGAAUGUUUAGUCUUCAUUUUCUCGUAGGAGCCAAACUCCUGGCCGCCUUUUCUCUGUUCCAGCAGCCUGUUCACCACCUUGGGCUUCUGAUCUCCAGAUACGUUGUCCACGGCAGCCUUUGCAUUGGUGUGGCACAAGACGGGAGGGAAGGACUUUGAUUUUGUGGUAAAAGGAAAGGUUAAUUUCCCCCUGUCCUUCUCACAAGAUAUAAAUAAGGAAGCCCGUGGCUCUGAUCAUUACAAGGAGCCAUCUUAUUGCCAUAUGGAACCAUCUUGUGUGUCAAUAAAGAAAGUCAAUAUUAGGGCAAUAUGUCAAGUAUAGGUACGUAUCUUUCUCAUUUUUAUUUUUUGUAUCUUAUAUACAUGUCUCUUUUGCUUAUAUGCUCGUUAUAUUUUAUCUUUUGUUGCCCUAUGUUUAGAAUAGCAGUAGGGUUUCAAGACAGGUAACUUCUAAUUUUUUUUUUAACAU